rnacentral:tRNA from 1 species
GGGAAGGUGGCUCAGUGGUAGAGUGCUUGCCUUGCAGGCAUGAGGCCCUGGGUUC